AACGAACGCUGGCGGCAGGCUUAACACAUGCAAGUCGAACGCCCCGCAAGGGGAGUGGCAGACGGGUGAGUAACGCGUGGGAACAUACCCUUUUCUACGGAAUAGCUCUGGGAAACUGGAAUUAAUACCGUAUACGCCCUACGGGGGAAAGAUUUAUCGGGGAAGGAUUGGCCCGCGUUGGAUUAGCUAGUUGGUGGGGUAAAGGCCUACCAAGGCGACGAUCCAUAGCUGGUCUGAGAGGAUGAUCAGCCACAUUGGGACUGAGACACGGCCCAAACUCCUGCGGGAGGCAGCAGUGGGGAAUAUUGGACAAUGGGCGCAAGCCUGAUCCAGCCAGGCCGCGUGAGUGAUGAAGGCCUUAGGGUUGUAAAGCUCUUUCACCGAUGAAGAUAAUGACGGUAGUCUGAGAAGAAGCCCCGGCUAACUUCGUG
rnacentral:rRNA from 1 species